GCUUACACAUGCAAGUCGAACGGAAAGGCCCUUCGGGGUACUCGAGUGGCGAACGGGUGAGUAACACGUGGGUGAUCUGCCCUGCACUUUGGGAUAAGCCUGGGAAACUGGGUCUAAUACCGAAUAUGAUCAUCGGCUUCAUGGUCGGUGGUGGAAAGCUUUUGCGGUGUGGGAUGGGCCCGCGGCCUAUCAGCUUGUUGGUGGGGUAAUGGCCUACCAAGGCGACGACGGGUAGCCGGCCUGAGAGGGUGACCGGCCACACUGGGACUGAGAUACGGCCCAGACUCCUACGGGAGGCAGCAGUGGGGAAUAUUGCACAAUGGGCGCAAGCCUGAUGCAGCGACGCCGCGUGAGGGAUGACGGCCUUCGGGUUGUAAACCUCUUUCAGCACAGACGAAGCGCAAGUGACGGUAUGUGCAGAAGAAGGACCGGCCAACUACGUGCCA
rnacentral:rRNA from 1 species